rnacentral:rRNA from 1 species
GAUGAACGCUGGCGGCGUGCCUAAUACAUGCAAGUCGAGCGAACGGACGCGAAGCUUGCUUCUUUGAUGUUAGCGGCGGACGGGUGAGUCACACGUGGAUAACCUACCUAUAAUACUGGGAUCACUUCGGGAAACCGGCGCUAAUACCGGAUAAUCUUUUGAUCCGCAUGGUUCAAAAGUGAAAGACGGUCUUGCUGUCUCUUAUAGAUGGUUCCGCGCUGCAUUAGCUAGUUGGUAAGGUAACGGCUUACCAAGGCAACGAUGCCUAGCCGACCUGAGAGGGUGGUCGGCCACACUGGAAGUGAGACACGGUCAAGACGACUACGGGAGGCAGCAGUAGGGAACCGUACGCAGUGGGCGAAAGCAUUACGGAGCAGGGGCGCGUGAGAGAUGAAGGUGUUCGGAUCGGAAAACCCUGUUAUGAGGUAAGAACAUAUGUGUAAGUAACUGUGCACAGAGUGACGGUACCUGAUAAGAAAGCCACGGCUAACUACGUG